GUGAAGCGGCAAAAGCUCAAAUUUGAAAUCUGGCUCCUUAGGGGGUCCGAGUUGUAAUUUGUAGAGGAUGCUUCGGGUGCGGCCACGGCCUAAGUUCCUUGGAACAGGACGUCACAGAGGGUGAGAAUCCCGUCUUUGGCAGUUGGCCCGCGCCCGUGUGAAGCUCCUUCGACGAGUCGAGUUGUUUGGGAAUGCAGCUCUAAGCGGGUGGUAAAUUUCAUCUAAAGCUAAAUAUUGGCCGGAGACCGAUAGCGCACAAGUAGAGUGAUCGAAAGGUUAAAAGCACCUUGAAAAGGGAGUUAAACAGCACGUGAAAUUGUUGAAAGGGAAGCGCUUGCGGCCAGACUCGGGCGCGGGGUUCAGCGGGUGCGCGUCACCCGUGUACUCCCCGCCGCCCGGGCCAGCAUCAGUUCUGACGGCCGGUCAAAGGCCCCCGGAAUGUAUCGUCUCUCGGGACGUCUUAUAGCCGGGGGUGCAAUGCGGCCCGUCGGGACUGAGGAACGCGCUUCGGCUCGGAUGCUGGCGUAAUGGCCGUAAGCGGCCCGUCUUGAAACACGGACCAAGGAGUCUAACAUCCACGCGAGUGUUCGGGUGUCAAACCCGUGCGCGCAGUGAAAGCGAACGGAGGUGGGAGCCUUAGGGCGCACCAUCGACCGAUCCUGAAGUCUUCGGAUGGAUUUGAGUAGGAGCGUGGCCGUUGGGACCCGAAAGAUGGUGAACUAUGCCUGAAUAGGGUGAAGCCAGAGGAAACUCUGGUGGAGGCUCGCAGCGGUUCUGACGUGCAAAUCGAUCGUCAAAUUUGGGCAUAGGGGGCGAAAGACUAAUCGAACCAUCUAGUAGCUGGUUCUGCG
rnacentral:rRNA from 1 species